rnacentral:rRNA from 1 species
AUACGGCCCAGACUCCUACGGGAGGCAGCAGUGGGGAAUAUUGCACAAUGGGCGCAAGCCUGAUGCAGCGACGCCGCGUGGGGGAUGACGGCCUUCGGGUUGUAAACCUCUUUCACCAUCGACGAAGGUCCGGGUUCUCUCGGAUUGACGGUAGGUGGAGAAGAAGCACCGGCCAACUACGUGCCAGCAGCCGCGGUAAUACGUAGGGUGCGAGCGUUGUCCGGAAUUACUGGGCGUAAAGAGCUCGUAGGUGGUUUGUCGCGUUGUUCGUGAAAUCUCACGGCUUAACUGUGAGCGUGCGGGCGAUACGGGCAGACUAGAGUACUGCAGGGGAGACUGGAAUUCCUGGUGUAGCGGUGGAAUGCGCAGAUAUCAGGAGGAACACCGGUGGCGAAGGCGGGUCUCUGGGCAGUAACUGACGCUGAGGAGCGAAAGCGUGGGGAGCGAACAGGAUUAGAUACCCUGGUAGUCCACGCCGUAAACGGUGGGUACUAGGUGUGGGUUUCCUUCCUUGGGAUCCGUGCCGUAGCUAACGCAUUAAGUACCCCG